UACGGGGGGAGCAAGCGUUGUUCGGAUUUACUGGGCGUAAAGGGCGCGUAGGCGGCACCGCAAGUCGACUGUGAAAUCUCCGGGCUUAACUCGGAAAGGUCAGCCGAUACUGCGGGGCUAGAGUGCAGAAGGGGCAACUGGAAUUCUCGGUGUAGCGGUGAAAUGCGUAGAUAUCGAGAGGAACACCUGCGGCGAAGGCGGGUGCUGGGCUGACACUGACGCUGAUGCGCGAAAGCGUAGGGGAGCGAACGGG
rnacentral:rRNA from 1 species